ACCGCACAAUAGUCCUCUUUCCUCCCCUAGCCGCCGCCAACCCUCUCUUCUCCCAACCCUUCCCUCUUCCUAGAUCAAACCUCACGCCACCGUGAUGAGCCGACGGGAAGCCUCUUUGGAGGAGCCUUCUAUGCAUCAACGUUGAUGGGGUUCGCCGACCAAGCGAGGGCGUGGAUCCCCCUUCUCAUGCUCUCAAUCGUCGGCACGACCACCAUCAACCAGAUCUUCACUACCUCAGGUAUGCUCUCUCUCUCUCUCUCUCUCUCUCUCUAUCCUUUUCUCUCCUGGCCGCCCUUGGAUCCCUCUCCUACUCCUUCGUUUCUCGUUACACUGAUAGGUGACCUCCCUGCCGGUGCUUUCUAUUAUGGACAUGACCAUCAAGCAUAGCCUCCAUGGCACCGCACACACAUGUCCUAGGAGGCACGCCAUCAGCUAAUUACCUUCUUUGUGCUCAAUUUGCAACCCACGGGUAUGCGUAUGGGCCAAAUGUUGUCCCCACCAGGUAUCGUGGGGGGAGGUACGUUCCACCACUCAUGUACUUGAUAUCCACGAGUGCCGUCAGUUAGGCCCGACAUUUGGGCCCUAGCAUUUCUCCCAUAUAAAAACACUACAUCCGUCCAUCCCACGAUGGAACCCUAAAUCAAUCCACAUUUGACUCAUCUGUCCUCUCCUAGCCGCUACCAACCCUUCUCUCUUCUCCCAGCCUCUCCCUCUUCCCCAAAUCGAUCCUCCUACCACCAUUCGCCACCCGUCCAGGAAGAUGGUGCUACAUAGCCUCGACCCUUGUAGAUCUAUUCUCCGCCCGUCCCUAUCACGCUCACCCAUCAUUGGCGCAUCUCGCCUCGUCACUUUGGCUGCCAAAUCAAUUGUGGGGACUGCGAUGGUGCGCCGCUUAGAGGCCAUGCCCUACUGGUCAGCUACUCGCGUGUCGCGACGGCCUCCUCUGUGUCCACCCCUCUGCACAACGACGAUCGACUCUGGCGAGAUCCGACAUCACUUUUGCCUCUCAAAUCCCAAGGUAAUCAUAGGCCAUGCCAUGGCCAAAAUCUCCCUCUCGCCGCCGCGAUUUCGCUCCCAACGUUCUUCCCGUGCCUUGUUCUGGGUUGUUCAUUCCUUCCUGCCGAAAGAUCAAUUCCGGGUUCUUUUUGUUUUGUUUGUGGUGGUCGUUUCUUUCAAUGUGCGUCUGUUUUUUGUUUUGCCUGGAGCAGAGUUUAUCUAAUCUUCAGGUCGUCGGUGCUCCGUCUGGUUCAUGAUCUGGUUUUGUUGCUUGCUUUACUAUCUCAUCUCACUGUUGGAUUCAUUUUACCAAUCUUUCCGGGUUUGGUUGCCGGCCGAAAAUUCUUUCCUUUUUCCCCACACGACGGCUGUUGUGACUGAUUCCAGAAUUUCCUGUCGAUUUUGUUCAGUUUUAGUAAGAUUUCUGUUUGGUCUGUCUUUGCAGCGGCGACAUGAUCAUGGCGGAAGAUUUAUGCUUUCGCUCAAUUGUUUCUCUACGGAUUUCUAUCGAACAGAUCUUUGAAUGCUCGGGGUUCACAAUCCAAUUUUGUUGUUCGUAGAGGUGGAUGCUUUUUGGAACUGAUUUUGGUUUAGAUAGAAUUCUCGUGAUGAGGGGAAGAAUUUCUUUAAUGUUUGUUUCAAUAUGUAUCCCAAGUGUUCGAAGUGGUUCUCGUGCUUGCUAACACCGUCUUUGGAUUGUCUAAUUUUCAUUUUCCGUGCAGGUACCAAAGGAUCAACCCGGAAUCUGUCCGAGUCCCCAAUGGAGGCGGCAGCGGCAUCUUCGCCCACCAGGAAGCCAGCAGAACCAGCACCGUCAUCCACACCAAGCAUGGACGAG
rnacentral:lncRNA from 1 species